rnacentral:rRNA from 1 species
AUCAUUACCGAGUGUAGGGUUCCUAGCGAGCCCAACCUCCCACCCGUGUUUACUGUACCUUAGUUGCUUCGGCGGGCCCGCCAUUCAUGGCCGCCGGGGGCUCUCAGCCCCGGGCCCGCGCCCGCCGGAGACACCACGAACUCUGUCUGAUCUAGUGAAGUCUGAGUUGAUUGUAUCGCAAUCAGUUAAAACUUUCAACAAUGGAUCUCUUGGUUCCGGCAUCGAUGAAGAACGCAGCGAAAUGCGAUAACUAGUGUGAAUUGCAGAAUUCCGUGAAUCAUCGAGUCUUUGAACGCACAUUGCGCCCCCUGGUAUUCCGGGGGGCAUGCCUGUCCGAGCGUCAUUGCUGCCCAUCAAGCACGGCUUGUGUGUUGGGUCGUCGUCCCCUCUCCGGGGGGGACGGGCCCCAAAGGCAGCGGCGGCACCGCGUCCGAUCCUCGAGCGUAUGGGGCUUUGUCACCCGCUCUGUAGGCCCGGCCGGCGCUUGCCGAACGCAAAU